CUCCCUAGAGAGAUGAAGCCGGUACCUCAGAUGGAAAUGCAGAAAUCACCCGUCUUCUGCGUCGCUCACGCUGGUUGCUGUAGACCGGAGCUGUUCCUAUUCGGCCAUCUUGGCUCCUCCCGUGAGAUUUUUAAAAACCAGAAAUGAAGUACCAGCCUCAUCAUCCUGAGCUCUUCCCUGUGCCUCUGGAUCAUGGAGCCCGAAAACUACAUUUCCCAGACUCUGUUGUUCAUGGGCCCAGUGAGAGUCCAUCAUGCGAGGCACUGGCAUGAGGUUGGAAGGAGGAAGUGAAGGCCUAUUUCUUCUCUCUGGGACUCUGUGUGUAUGGCAAAGCACAGACAAGGAAUUUUGACCACAACUUUGAGCAUCCUUUUGAGAAGCACUCACACUGGGCUCCAGCAUCUGCCCUGUGAUCCCAGAACCCUCAGAAUUCCUGACCGUGCCCUUCCUGGGUUUUGCUCCCUCAACUUUCCAAAGACUAUGAAAACCUCCAAUUCUGUAUCGUGUCUCUUCAUCCUUAGAGUUCCCAGAAUAUUUUUUCUUUCCCUGGCCAGAUCUUAACUAAUAUUGUUAAAUCAAGUUUAGACUAAAGCUGCCUCCUUAUACAUUUUACGUUCAGUCUAAAGUUGUAUCUGUACAUAAUAAACUGCAACUGAAUUGGAUGUGUAAACAAACUAACCUACUCUUGCGCCAGUCACUGUGUUUGGGCGAAUUAAAGACAGCCAAAUGUUCAAACUUUUCAAAUAAGGCAAAUGCCGAGCUAUAAUCCAUCUAGCUCUUUCUGUGCCUCAAUUCUAUUGUCUGUAGGUCACUUUCCUUUUUCUGACCAUAAAUGUUCUUCCACCACAUGGCUGUGCUGGAGUCUCUGAGCCUACUCUGGUUCAGAAGUUUGCCUGAUUUGCAAAUCAUUCUUUGUUCAACUAAACUCUUUUAAUUUUAACUUGUCUAUGGUUUUGCUUUUAACAAUAUAACACCAGCUGGGCACAGUGGCUCAUGCAUGUAAUCCCAGCACUUUGAGAAGCU
rnacentral:lncRNA from 10 species